UACGUAGGGGGCAAGCGUUGUCCGGAAUCAUUGGGCGUAAAGCGCGCGUAGGCGGCCCGAUAAGUCCGCUGUAAAAGUCCAGGGCUCAACCCUGGAAAGCCGGUGGAUACUGUCGGGCUAGAGUCCGGAAGAGGCGAGUGGAAUUCCUGGUGUAGCGGUGAAAUGCGCAGAUAUCAGGAGGAACACCGGUGGCGAAGGCGGGUCUCUGGGCCGAUACUGACGCUGAGGAGCGAAAGCGUGGGGAGCGAACAGG
rnacentral:rRNA from 1 species